ACUAUUAUAGCUUUAAUAUUAUUUUCAAACUAUCUAGAGAUUUUCAAAUUAUUUUUUAGCAUUUAAUAUUUUUGAGUUUAAUUUAGGUUUGAGCGGAUAAAAUUGGCUGAAUGGAGUGCUUCAAAAUUAAACAUGAUGUUCAUUAUUGAACUUAUAUGUAAAAACAAAAGAGCUGGAUUAUUUAAUUUUAAUCAUCUUCCACGUCGUUGAGACCUGAACGCACCAGUAUGUUAGAUUAGGGCUGUAGUUUCUUUUGUUGAUUAAAUCGAUUUUAUUAGUUGGAGGAAAACGUUAAGUAUCUACCUGAAGCAUUUUAUUUCAAAACAGAAAAUUGGAGACUGAAAUAAACCGCGGAUCGGUUUUCAUUUACCGGCGAAACCGAUUGUCCCCAGUUGGUUAGGUUAGAUUAGGUUAGUCGUUUUCAAUACUCGACAAUAUGUCCGUUUACGCUAAACACGAAUUUCGGCAGUACGGAUUUUUCUGACAAACGCGUGGUUUCGAAUCGAAACAAUGAAAAUAUUCGGUGUCUGAUUUGAAAUUAAAAUAAUGGUUGAAUAUUACAAGAGAGACAAUCACGCGCGUGGGAAAUUCGUGUACGAUAAAUAAUUAAUGGUCGGGUGUGUAAUAUUGUAAUAAUACACACACACACACACACACACACACACACACACGUCACUCACGGGUAUUUAUAAACGCACAUAACAAUAUCGUGAAGUCAUAUUUAAUCGAAAUCAUUUCGCACGUGUCGCUUAACGGGAUAUCGAUUACCGUCGAAACGUUUCGGAACGAAUACAGAAUGAAACGAAAAUAAAAAAAACCGUAAACACUGCGAAAAAUCGCGUACGAUUGUGAUUAUGUACUUUCUGUUUACAACGCGCAAAAUUAAUAAUAUUACGUGUCGGAUAUUAUAUAAAAAAAAAAAAUCUGUAACUACCUAUUUUCCAUAACGGGUAGGCCACUGUAAUAUAUAUCGACGGUGUUUUGUUAAAAGGGCCGUCGAUCGAAUUUCACUUUUUUGUAGGAAGCAAAAAAAAAAAAAAACAGCGAAACAGUUUUUAAGCAUGUUCAUCACAGAAAACAAUAAAAUUACUCCAUGUAAUCAACCUUGUACACAAAGUAUUUACAUGCAUUGAAUGCGGUACACGCCCUUUAACGCAAUCAGUGUUGAUUUAAUUAUAUUCUAAAAGGACGGCUAGAUAUCUUUUAGUCGACAUUGCCAACUUAAUUUUUUGUGCUUAAAUACCAAAAACGUUUUAUUCUUUUAUUUUUAGUGGCACACGAUCUUUUAACAAAACACCGUGGAAUUAUGCAGGUGGUAAGUACAUAUCAGAUAUAUGGAGCCUAUAUCUUUUAUAGGCGAUAAUUUAAAAUUUAUUUUAUCCCGAAAACAACGGUAAAUCGUUUCAACUAACGAACGAUUGCGAACGGUGUUGUAUUAAUUGAGUUUUUCCCCUCGUAGCUGCCCGGUUAUCCGGAAAUCAUCAAAAAUAAAACCGUGACGACAGUUCAUUCAAUUUUAUAGGAAAAAUGUUGGCAGUAUAGACAUUUCUUUCAACUGAAGAAUUACCGGCCGGAAAAUGCGCAUCUUUGAAGGUACGAUGCGAAUUCGAUGAAUUCAACGGACUUUUACUUACCGAAAAAAGUGUUGUCCGAGAAACAAUAAAAAGGACCUGGGGGUUGAACUGUUAAUAUUUUUGAAAAACGUUUCAAGUACCACCGCGGGCAGAUAUUAAAAUACCGCGUAAAAAAUUCGGAGCGUUCAGUUCGCCAAUAAAAUGUUUAAAUUAAAAUCAAAACACGAAGUUCAAUUUUUCCCAAUAUUUGGGAAUUCUUAACUAUUAAGUUCUAAAAAAAGUAACAUCUAGAGAAAAAUCGUUACGGUAUAAAAAUUAGUACCUACUAGAAUUUUAUAGAUUGAAUAUUGGAGCAUAGUUUAACUAUUACCAAAAUGUUUUCUCCGUGUUCGGAAUGUAAAAACUAUCAGUUUUCGUGCCCGAACGUUUCAAUGACAAUAAUAACUAUUCGCAAUUUAUGAUGUCCCUUUUUGUUCUAGAAAAAAACGCAUUACAACGGGAAGAAAACAAAAAGCGAAGAAUAAAAAUGAAACCAAUGAUGCGUCACCGUUCUGCGGGUAGCGGUUAUGCGUAUACGCGUAGUAACUACACCGAAGUCGUACGAAAUUAUUCAUAAAAUUCCGUCCGAGAAUAUUAUUAUUACUACAGGUAUUCAUAUUGUUUGAAAAAUUGCCCUUUUAUAAAAUAUAAAAAUAUUCUCUGCGGUUAUGUAAAUAUUGUUGCGCACGGUAAUGUAUAGCGAAAACAUUCUCGCGUAGGUAUAUUUUUUUAUUUAGUUUUAUUUUUUCUGUAACUCAAUUGGCGCACAGAAACGCAUAAAUUAUCAACCAUUUAGCAUUUAGAAAUACAAAGUUCGUCCAAAUGAUAAACGGUUUUUUUUUUUUGUUCGGGCAAGUAUUAUAUUCGCGUGACGUAUCCGGCUAAAUUCUCCGGGACUCGUUUUAUAGGUAAACACGCGUCGUCAUGUCUUUUGGAUACAAUAUAUAUUUAUUAUUUUAUUUUUUUCCACAUUGUCCUUGCGCGAAUAUCCACAAGGCAA